rnacentral:rRNA from 1 species
AUUUAAUGUAAAUUAUUUGCUUAGGGAUUAUUAGAUAUGGUCUUUAAACUUAAAGGACUUGGCGGUAGAUUAAUUUGUCUAGAGGAACUUGUUAUGUAAUAGAUAGUACUCAUUUUAUCUAACCUUAAGUGGUUCUAUGUAUAUCGCCGUUUUGAAAAUUCUUUGAGGAUUGAAAUUUUCUUUUUGGUAGGGACAUUAAAAUCAGGUCAAGGUGCAGGGUAUUUUAGGGGGUUAAAUGAGUUACAAUCAAAAUUUAUAUUGUUUGGAUUUGUUAGUGAAAUUUUUAAUUGAAAUUGGAUUUGGAAGUAAUUUUUAAUUAGAAAGUAGAUUUGAAUUUAACUCUAAUUUA